rnacentral:tRNA from 1 species
CUGGUAGCUCAGCUGGUUAGAGCGCUGGCCUGUCACGCCAGAGGUCGAGGGUUCGAGCCCCUUCC